GCCGCGGUAGCUCAGUUGGCAGAGCGCCGGGCUGUUAACACCCGGUGGUCGGUGGUCCGAGUCCACCCCGCG
rnacentral:tRNA from 1 species